GCCUACGGCCAUACUACCCCGAACACGCCCAAUCCCGUCUGAUCUCGCAAGCUAAGCAGGGUCAAGCCUGGUUAGUACUUGGAUGGGAGACCAGGUGCUGUAGGAG
rnacentral:rRNA from 1 species